rnacentral:rRNA from 1 species
AUUGAACGCUGGCGGCAGGCCUAACACAUGCAAGUCGAACGAGUGGCGGACGGGUGAGUAAUGUCUGGGAAACUGCCUGAUGGAGGGGGAUAACUACUGGAAACGGUAGCUAAUACCGCAUACCAUCGGAUGUGCCCAGAUGGGAUUAGCUAGUAGGUGGGGUAAAGGCUCACCUAGGCGACGAUCCCUAGCUGGUCUGAGAGGAUGACCAGCCACACUGGAACGGAGACACGGUCCAGACUCCUACGGGAGGCAGCAGUGGCGAAUAUUGCACAAUGGGCGCAAGCCUGAUGCCGCGAAGCAGCGUGGAUGAAGAAGGCCUUGGGGUUGUAAAUUACUAUCAUCGGGGAGGCUUUACCCGCAGAAGAAGCACCGGCUAACUCCGUGCCAGCAGCCGCGGUAAUAC